rnacentral:rRNA from 1 species
AGAGUUUGAUCCUGGCUCAGAACGAACGCUGGCGGCGUGCCUAACACAUGCAAGUCGAACGAGGUAGCAAUACCUAGUGGCGGACGGGUGAGUAAUACAUGGGCAACCUGCCCUUUAGUGGGGGAUACCCAGCCGAAAGGUUGGCUAAUACCGCAUACCCUGUGGAGCUGAAAUGCUUUUCAGGAAAGAUUUAUCGCUAAAGGAUGGGCCCAUGGUGGAUUAGCUAGUUGGUGAGGUAACGGCUCACCAAGGCGACGAUCCAUAGCUGGUCUGAGAGGAUGAUCAGCCACACUGGGACUGAGACACGGCCCAGACUCCUACGGGAGGCAGCAGUGGGGAAUUUUCCGCAAUGGGCGAAAGCCUGACGGAGCGACGCCGCGUGGAGGAUGAAGGAUUUCGGUCUGUAAACUCCUGUCAGGGGGGACGAAACCAUGACGGUACCCCCAAAGGAAGCAUCGGCUAACUACGUGCCAGCAGCCGCGGUA